GGAAGUAAAAAGUCGUAACAAGGGUUCCGUAGGUGAACCUGCGGAAGGAUCAUUAUUGUAUAACCGAGGUGCGAGGGCUGUCGCUGACCCGAAAGGUCGUGCACGCCCGAGUGCCCUCGCACACAUCCAUCUCACCCCUAUGUGCACCACCGCGUGGGUCCCCCUUUGGCUUGUUCGGAGGGGGGCUUACGUUUUCACACAAACUUUGUAUGCAGUGUAGAAUGUAUUUUUUGUUUUUGCGAUCACGCAAUCAAUACAACUUUCAACAACGGAUCUCUUGGCUCUC
rnacentral:misc_RNA from 1 species